CCUGGUUGGUCCUGUCAGUAGCAUUUGCUUGUCCCAAAGAUUAAGCCAUGCACAUGUAAGUACACACGGCCAGUACAGUGAAACUGUGAAUGGCUCAUUAAAUCAGUUAAGGUUCCUUUGAACGCUCCAUCUGUUAGUUGGAUAACUGUGGUCAUUCUAGAGCUAAUACAUGCCGACGAGCGCUGACCUCCCAGGAUUCGUGCUUUAUCAGACAAAGACCAAUCUGGGCUCGCCCGCUGCUUUGGUGACUCUAGAUAACCCUGGGCCGAUCGCACUUCCCCAUGACGGUGACAAUGCAUUUGGAUGUUUAAAUGGUACUUUCUGUGCCUAGCAUGGUGACCACGGGUAACGGGGAAUCAGGGUUUGAUUCCGGAGAGGGAGCCUGAGAAACGGCUACUACAUCCAAGGAAGGCAGCAGGUGCACAAAUUACCCACUCCCGACUCAGGGAGGAAAUGACAAAAUAUAACAAUACAGGACUCAUUUGAGGUCCUGUAAUUGGAAUAAUACACUUUAAAUCCUUUAACAAGUAUUCAUUGGAGGGCAGGUCUGGUGCCGGCAGCUGUGGUAAUUCCAGCUCCAACAGCGUAUAUUAAAGUUGAUGGAGUUAAAAAGCUCAUAGUUGGAUCUUGGGAUCGAGCUGGCGGACCGCCACGAGGUGAGAUACCGCCUAUCCCAGCCCCUGCUCUUGGCACCCCCUUGCUGCUCUUGACUGAGUUCCUUGGGGUCUGAAGCGUUUACUUUUAAAAAAUGUGAGUGUUCAAAGCAGGCCGGUCACCUGAAUACUUCAGCUAGGUAUAAUGGAAUAGGACUCUGGUUCUAUUUUGUUGGUUUUCGGAACUGAGGCCAUGAUUAAGCGGGGUGGCCAGUGGCCUUCGUUCUGUACUGCUAGAGAUGCCAUUCUUGGACCGGUGCAAGACGAACCAAAGCGGAAGCAUUUGCCAAGAAUGUUUUCAGUAAUCAAGAACGAAAGUCGGAGGUUCGAAGACGAUCAGAUACCAUCGUAUUUUGGACCAUAAAAGAUGCCGACUAGCGAUCUGGCUGCGCUAUUCCCAUGACCCGCCGAGCAGCUUUGGGGUCCUGGGGAGUAUGGUUGGAAAGCUGAAUCUUAAAGGAAUUGACGCAGGGGUGCCACCAGGAGUGGAGUCUGCGGCUUAAUUUGACUCAACACGGGAAACCACACAAGCCUGGACACGGAAAGGAUUGACAGAUUGAUAGCUCUUUCUCGAUUCUGUGGGUGGUGGUUUAUGGCCAUUCUUAGUUGGUGGAGAGAUUUGUCUGGUUAAUUCCGAUAACGAUUGAGACUCCUCCAUGCUAACUAGUUACGCGACCCCCAGCGGUCAGCGUUAAACUUCUUAGAGGGACAAGUGGUGUUCAGCCACACAAGAUCAAGCAAUAACAGGCCUGUGAUGCCCUCAGAUGUCCGGGGCUGCAUAGAUCAGCGUGUUUCUACCCUUCGCCGACAGUUGCAACUUGUGAUUUCUCUUUUGGUACGUUUUGUGGUUGGGAUGUUGAUAGCACAGUUAGUUAUUUGUACUUCCGGACGUUGACACUGGAUGGUGCAUGGCUAUUUCCUUGUUCCAUACGGGAGUUGACAUGACUGUACAAUAUCUUUACAAUGAUGCAAUGCAUGUCUUUGCAAGUUCAGAAUGUUGUUUCAGGUGGGAUGCUGUGUAUGCAAGACAGGUGGGUACCUUGUGCAGGUAAAUUGAAGGCACUCACUGUGGCAUUUGUGGUGG
rnacentral:rRNA from 1 species